rnacentral:rRNA from 1 species
CCUAUUAUUGGGGGAUAGCCUUUGGAAACUUUUAUUAAUACCGCAUAAUACGAUUGACUGGCAUCGGUUGAUUGUUAGAGCUUCGGCGAUAAUAGAUGGGCAUGCGUCCAAUUAGUUAGUUGGUUAGGUAACGGCUGACCAAGACGAUGAUUGGUAGGGGAUCUGAGAGGAUAAUCCCCCACACUGGCACUGAGAUACGGGCCAGACUCCUGCGGGAGGCAGCAGUAGGGAAUAUUGGGCAAUGGGCGGAAGCCUGACCCAGCCAUGCCGCGUGUAGGAAGAAGGCGUUAUGCGUUGUAAACUGCUUUUUUAUAGGAAGAAGGAUCCCUUGCGAGGGAAGGUGACGGUACUAUAAGAAUAAGCACCGGCUAACUCCGUGCCAGCAGCCGCGGUAAUACGGAGGGUGCAAGCGUUGUCCGGAUUUAUUGGGUUUAAAGGGUGCGUAGGCGGUUUAUUAAGUCAGUGGUGAAAGACGGUCGCUCAACGAUUGCAGUGCCAUUGAUACUGGUAGACUUGAGUGAGAUUGAGGUAGCUGGAAUGGAUAGUGUAGCGGUGAAAUGCAUAGAUAUUAUCCAGAACACCGAUUGCGAAGGCAGGUUACUAAGUCUUAACUGACGCUGAGGCACGAAAGUGUGGGGAUCAAA